UGGGGAAUUUUGGACAAUGGGCGAAAGCCUGAUCCAGCAAUGCCGCGUGUGUGAAGAAGGCCUUCGGGUUGUAAAGCACUUUUGUCCGGAAAGAAAUCCUUGGCUCUAAUACAGUCGGGGGAUGACGGUACCGGAAGAAUAAGCACCGGCUAACUACGUGCCAGCAGCCGCGGUAAUACGUAGGGUGCAAGCGUUAAUCGGAAUUACUGGGCGUAAAGCGUGCGCAGGCGGUUUGCUAAGACCGAUGUGAAAUCCCCGGGCUCAACCUGGGAACUGCAUUGGUGACUGGCAGGCUAGAGUAUGGCAGAGGGGGGUAGAAUUCCACGUGUAGCAGUGAAAUGCGUAGAGAUGUGGAGGAAUACCGAUGGCGAAGGCAGCCCCCUGGGCCAAUACUGACGCUCAUGCACGAAAGCGUGGGGAGCAAACAGGAUUAGAUACCCUGGUAGUCCACGCCCUAAACGAUGUCAACUAGUUGUUGGGGAUUCAUUUCCUUAGUAACGUAGCUAACGCAUGAAGUUGACCGCCUGGGGAGUACGGUCGCAAGAUUAAAACUCAAAGGAAUUGACGGGGUCAUAGCUGUUUCCU
rnacentral:rRNA from 1 species